AAACACUCAGUCAAUAACAGCCUUCAUACACAGCGAGACAGGAGAGCAUCCAUCUCUCAGACGAGAACAUAUUUGUUUUUCUUGUGGAGCCACCUGACCUGCAGUGUCACACGAAGAUAGUUUGGUAAGCUCAGACUGGCACCAUCAUGGGGAAUGAACAAUCUACUAUUGAAGAGGUAAACCAGAAUGGGUCGAUUCCAGAAAAACAUGAAAACGGAUCGGUGAACGGCAUCUCCGCAGGCAUUACAUCCAACGGAUUGGAGAUUGAUGGUGACU